rnacentral:rRNA from 1 species
GAUGAACGCUGGCGGCGUGCCUAACACAUGCAAGUCGAACGGGAGUUGUCUUCGGACAACAAGAGUGGCGCACGGGUGAGUAACACGUAGCUAACCUGCCCCGAAGCUCGGGAUAACGUUCCGAAAGGAAUGCUAAUACCGGAUAAGCUCACGGCCUGUAGAGGACUGUGAGAAAAGGAGUAAUCCACUUUGGGAUGGGGCUGCGACCCAUCAGCUGGUUGGUGAGGUAACGGCUUACCAAGGCGACGACGGGUAGGGGACCUGAGAGGGUCGACCCCCACAC